rnacentral:tRNA from 1 species
CGACUCCUGGCUGAGCUUGGUCAGGCCGGCGCUGGCACCGCCGAACAGCUUGGUGCUGUUGCCCAGCGGGUAGA